GAUGAACGCUGGCGGCGUGCCUAAUACAUGCAAGUCGAGCGAACGGACGAGAAGCUUGCUUCUCUGAUGUUAGCGGCGGACGGGUGAGUAACACGUGGAUAACCUACCUAUAAGACUGGGAUAACUUCGGGAAACCGUAGCUAAUACCGGAUAAUAUUUUGAACCGCAUGGUUCAAAAGUGAAAGACGGUCUUGCUGUCACUUAUAGAUGGAUCCGCGCUGCAUUAGCUAGUUGGUAAGGUAACGGCUUACCAAGGCAACGAUGCAUAGCCGACCUGAGAGGGUGAUCGGCCACACUGGAACUGAGACACGGUCCAGACUCCUACGGGAGGCAGCAGUAGGGAAUCGUCCGCAAAGGGCGAAAGCCUGACGGAGCAACGCCGCGUGAGUGAUGAAGGUCUUCGGAUCGUAAAACUCUGUUAUUAGGGAAGAACAUAUGUGUAAGUAACUGUGCACAUCUUGACGGUACCUAAUCAGAAAGCCACGGCUAACUACGUG
rnacentral:rRNA from 1 species